rnacentral:rRNA from 1 species
GGACAACCUGCCCAAAGGUCCGGGAUAACCCCGGGAAACUGGGGAUAAUACCGGAUAAAUCACAAGUACUGGAAGGUUUUGUGGUUGAAACUUCCGGGGCCUUUGGAUGGGUCUGCGGCGGAUUAGGUUGUUGCCGGUGUAACGUACCGUCAAGCCUGUAAUCCGUACGGGUUGUGGGAGCAAGAGCCCGGAGAUGGAUUCUGAGACACGAAUCCAGGCCCUACGGGGCGCAGCAGGCGCGAAAACUCUACAAUGCAGGCAACUGCGAUAGGGGAACAUCGAGUGAUACUCAUCUUGGGUGUCUGUCCUCCCGUCUAAAAAACGGGAGUUAGCAAGGGCCGGGCAAGAACGGUGCCACCGCCGCGGUAAUACCGGCGGCUCGAGUGGUGGCCGAUAUUAUUGAGUCUAAAGGUCCGUAGCCGGCUUUGCAAGUCUUUUGGGAAAUCCAGCGGCUUAACCGUUGGUCGUCCGGGAGAUACUACAUUGCUUGGGACUGGGAGAGGUAGGAGGUACUCAGGGGGUAGGAGUGAAAUCCUGUAAUCCUUUGGGGACCACCGGUGGCGAAGGCGUCCUACCAGAACAGGUCCGACGGUGAGGGACGAAAGCUAGGGGCACGAACCGGAUUAGAUACCCGGGUAGUCCUAGCCGUAAACGAUGCUCGCUAGGUGUCACAACAAUCGUGAAUUGUUGUGGUGCCGUAGGGAAGCCGUGAAGCGAGCCACUUGGGAAGUACGACCGCAAGGUUGAAACU